rnacentral:lncRNA from 1 species
GUGAAGGAUGGUGGAAAUGUUCUGGUUAUUCCUGAUGUAGAACCAAGUGUAGUAGCAAGUCAUUACAUAGAAGAAAACAUCAAUAAAAUAGAUGAUGCCCAGCAUAUUGAGGAUACUGAGUUAACAAAAACUCACGUGAGUGAAGUACCUUCACAUGAAGAACCAUUGAACAAAGAACCUUCACAUGAAGAACCAUUGAACAAAGAACCUUUACACGAAGAUCCUUUACACGAAGAAUCUUUACACGAAGAAUCUUUACACGAAGAAUCUUUACACGAAGAAUCUUUACACGAAGAAUCUUUACACGAAGAAUCUUUACAUGAAGAAUCUUUACGUUCAAUUGAGAGGGGGACUCAGGAAACUAGUGUACAAAGUGAUCUACUAAAAGAAGAUACACAACUAUUUGACAAUGAAAAAACUUCUGAGGAUAUAAUGCAACUUAAGGCUUCUUCUAAAAAAAAUAUUGUAGG